GAUUAAUACCGCAUAAGACCACGUCUGGGCAUCCAGGAGGGGUAAAAUAUUUAUAGGUGGCGGCUGGGCAUGCGUGACAUUAGCUAGUUGGCGGGGCAACGGCCCACCUAGUCUACGAUGUCUAGGGGAACUGAGAGGUCGAUCCCCCACACUGGUACUGAGACACGGACCAGACUCCUACGGGAGGCAGCAGUGAGGAAUAUUGGUCAAUGGAGGAAACUCUGAACCAGCCAUCUCGCGUGAAGGACUACGGCCCUACGGGUCUUAAACUUCUUUUAUAGGGGGAUAAAGUCGCAUACGUGUAUGUGAUUGCAGGUACCCUAUGAAUAAGCAUCGGCUAACUCCGUGCCAGCAGCCGCGGUAAUACGGAGGAUGCGAGCGUUAUCCGGAUUUAUUGGGUUUAAAGGGUGCGCAGGCGGCGCGUUAAGUCAGCGGUGAAAUGUCGGGGCUCAACCCCGGCACUGCCGUUGAAACUGGCGUGCUCGAGUACGGAUGAAGCGGGCGGAAUGUGAUGUGUAGCGGUGAAAUGCUUAGAUAUGUCACAGAACACCGAUUGCGAAGGCAGCUCGCUAAUCCGCAACUGACGCUCAUGCACGAAAGCGUGGGGAUCGAACAGGAUUAGAUACCCUGGUAGUCCACGCAGUAAACGAUGAAGGCUUAGUUUUUGGGCGAAUUUCAAGUCAGUGGCCCAAGGGAAACCGAUUAAGCCUUCCCACCUGGGGAGGUACGCCCGCCACCGGUGAAAACUCAAAAGGAAUUGACGGGGGCCCCGCACAAGUAGCGGAGCAUGGGGUUUAAUUCGAAGCAACGCNGAAGAACCCUUACCAGAACUUGACAUCGAGUGAAGGGUUUUGUAAUGAAACCCGUCCCCUCGGGGACACGAAGACAGGUGUUGCAUGGUUGUCGUCAGCUCGUGUCGUGAGAUGUUAGGUUAAGUCCUGCAACGAGCGCAACCCUCGUGUACAGUUGCCAACAUUAAGUUAGGAACUCUGUACAGACCGCCGUGGUUAACACGGAGGAAGGUGGGGAUGACGUCAAAUCAUCACGGCCCUUACGUUCUGGGCCACACCCGUGCUACAAUGGCUAUUACAAAGAGCAGCGAAGCGGUAACGCGGAGCGAAUCUCAUAAAGAUAGUCUCAGUUCAGAUUGUGGGCUGCAACUCGCCCACAUGAAGUAGGAGUUGCUAGUAAUCCCGAAUCAGAAUGUCGGGGUGAAUGCGUUCCCGGGUCUUGCACUCACCGCCCGUCAAG
rnacentral:rRNA from 1 species